UACGAAGGGGGCUAGCGUUGCUCGGAAUCACUGGCGUAAAGGGUGCGUAGGCGGGUCUUUAAGUCAGGGGUGAAAUCCUGGAGCUCAACUCCAGAACUGCCCUUGAUACUGAGGAUCUUGAGUUCGGGAGAGGUGAGUGGAACUGCGAGUGUAGAGGUGAAAUUCGUAGAUAUUCGCAAGAACACCAGUGGCGAAGGCGGCUCACUGGCCCGAUACUGACGCUGAGGCAC
rnacentral:rRNA from 1 species